GCGUUGGUGGUUUAGUGGUAAAAUUGGCCGUUGCCAUCUGAUCUCCUCUGGAUUCCUUCCUAAUGAUCAGAGCAACAUCGGCCAGCCCCGGGUUCGAUUCCCGGCCGACGCA